rnacentral:rRNA from 1 species
GAUGAACGCUGGCGGCGUGCCUAAUACAUGCAAGUCGAGCGAACAGACGAGGAGCUUGCUCCUCUGACGUUAGCGGCGGACGGGUGAGUAACACGUGGAUAACCUACCUAUAAGACUGGGAUAACUUCGGGAAACCGGAGCUAAUACCGGAUAAUAUAUUGAACCGCAUGGUUCAAUAGUGAAAGACGGUUUUGCUGUCACUUAUAGAUGGAUCCGCGCCGCAUUAGCUAGUUGGUAAGGUAACGGCUUACCAAGGCAACGAUGCGUAGCCGACCUGAGAGGGGGAUCGGCCACACUGGAACUGAGACACGGUCCAGACUCCUACGGGAGGCAGCAGUAGGGAAUCUGCCGCAAUGGGCGAAAGCUUGACGGAGCAACGCCGCGUGAGUGAUGAAGGUCUGCGGAUCGUAAAACUCUGUUAUUAGGGAAGAACAAAUGUGUAAGUAACUAUGCACGUCUGGACGGUACCUAAGCAGAAAGCCACGGCUAACUACGU